UACGGGGGGAGCAAGCGUUGUUCGGAGUUACUGGGCGUAAAGGGUGUGUAGGCGGUCCCCUAAGUUUGGUGUGAAAUCUCCCGGCUCAACUGGGAGGGUGCGCCGAAAACUGGGGGGCUAGAGUACUGGAUGGGAGAGUGGAAUUCCUGGUGUAGCGGUGAAAUGCGUAGAUAUCAGGAGGAACACCUGUGGUGUAGACGGCUCUCUGGACAGUAACUGACGCUGAGACACGAAAAGCGUGGGUAGCAAACAGG
rnacentral:rRNA from 1 species